AGGCAUCACUCUUACGCUCCAGUGCUGGGUGCUUCAUCCCUAUCCAGCUGACGACUGCUCGCGACGUGUUGUUCGCC
rnacentral:sRNA from 1 species